rnacentral:rRNA from 1 species
GAGUUUGAUCAUGGCUCAGGAUGAACGCUAGCGGCAGGCUUAACACAUGCAAGUCGAACGGUAACAUUGGUGCUUGCGCCAGAUGACGAGUGGCGCACGGGUGCGUAACGCGUAUGCAAUCUACCUUUUACUGGAGAAUAGCCCAGAGAAAUUUGGAAUAAUCCUCCAUAAUAUCAUGUAUCAGCAUUGAUUUAUGAUUAAAGCUCCGGCGGUAAAAGAUGAGCAUGCGUUCUAUUAGCUAGUAGGUGAGGUAACGGCUCACCUAGGCAACGAUAGAUAGGGGCCCUGAGAGGGGGAUCCCCCACACUGGUACUGAGACACGGACCAGACUCCUACGGGAGGCAGCAGUGAGGAAUAUUGGACAAUGGAGGCAACUCUGAUCCAGCCAUGCCGCGUGCAGGAUGACUGCCCUAUGGGUUGUAAACUGCUUUUAUAUAGGAAGAAACACUCCCACGUGUGGGGGCUUGACGGUACUAUAUGAAUAAGGAUCGGCUAACUCCGUGCCAGCAGCCGCGGUAAUACGGAGGAUCCAAGCGUUAUCCGGAAUCAUUGGGUUUAAAGGGUCCGCAGGCGGCCUGUUAAGUCAGAGGUGAAAGCCAACAGCUCAACUGUUGAACUGCCUUUGAUACUGAUAGGCUUGAGUUAUUGUGAAGUGGUUAGAAUGUGUGGUGUAGCGGUGAAAUGCUUAGAUAUCACACAGAAUACCCAUUGCGAAGGCAGAUCACUAACAAUAUACUGACGCUCAUGGACGAAAGCGUGGGGAGCGAACGGGAUUAGAUACCCCGGUAGUCCACGCCGUAAACGAUGGAUACUAA